rnacentral:rRNA from 1 species
AUAGUGGGGGACGGGGGAGUAACGCGUGAAUACCCGUCCAUCGGAGGGGGACAACGGCUGGAAACGGGCGCUAAUACCGCGUAAGCCGAGAGGUGAAAGGUGCUCUUCGGGGUGCCGCCGAUGGGGGGGUUCGCGUCCUAUCUUCUAGUUGGUGGGGUAAGGGCCUACCAAGGGGAAAACAGGUAGCCGGCCUGAGAGGGCGAUCGCCCACACUGUAACUGAGAUACGGUCCACACUCCUACGGGAGGCGNCAGUGGGGAAUAUUGGGCAAUGGGGGAAACCCUGACCCACCGCCCCCGCGUGAGGAAAAAAGGUUUUCGGAUCGUAUACCUCUGUUGUACGGAAAGAAGGAAGUGACGGUACCGUACGAGGAAGCCCCGACAAACUACGUGCCAGCAGCC